GAUGAACGCUGGCGGCGUGCCUAAUACAUGCAAGUCGAACGAAACUUCUUUAUCACCGAGUGCUUGCACUCACCGAUAAAGAGUUGAGUGGCGAACGGGUGAGUAACACGUGGGCAACCUGCCCAAAAGAGGGGGAUAACACUUGGAAACAGGUGCUAAUACCGCAUAACCAUAGUUACCGCAUGGUAACUAUGUAAAAGGUGGCUAUACUACCGCUUUUGGAUGGGCCCGCGGCGCAUUAGCUAGUUGGUAGGGUAAAGGCUUACCAAGGCAAUGAUGCGUAGCCGAAUUGAGAGGUUGAUCGGACACAUUGGGACUGAGACACGGCACAAACUCCUACGGGAGGCAGCAGUAGGGAAUCUUCCACAAUGGGCGAAAGCCUGAUGGAGCAAAGCCGCGUGGGUGAAGAAGGUCUUAGGAUCGUAAAACCCUGUUGUUAGAGAAGAAAGUGCGUGAGAGUAACUGUUCACGUUUCGACGGUAUCUAACCAGAAAGCCACGGCUAACUACGUG
rnacentral:rRNA from 1 species